AUUGAACGCUGGCGGCAGGCCUAACACAUGCAAGUCGAGAGGAGCGGCGGACGGGUGAGUAAUGCCUAGGAAUCUGACUGGUAGUGGGGGAGCACGACCGGAAACGGGCGCUAUUACCGCAUACUAUGAGCAGAGCCUAGGGCGGAUUUGCUAGUUGGUGGGGUAAAGGCCUACCAAGGCGACGAUCCGUAACUGGUCUGAGAGGAUGAUCAGUCACACUGGAAAUGAGCCACGGUCCAGACUCCUACGGGAGGCAGCAGUGGGGAAUAUUGGACACUGGUCGAAAGCCUGAUCCAGCCAUGCCGCGUGUUGGAAGAAGGUCUUCGGAUUGUAAAGCACUUUAAGUUGGGAGGCGUUACCUACAGAAUAAGCACCGGCUAACUUCGUGCCAGCAGCCGCGGUAAUUC
rnacentral:rRNA from 1 species